AUAGGAGUUCAGUGGUCGCAGCCCACUACCCUACUGGGGAAGUUUGGUAGUUGUCUGUCCCAGCCCACUAUACAUCAUAGGGAACUUAGUUUAGUAGUUUCCUCCCCCAGCCCGGUAGGAGAUGGCUAUGGCAGGCCACUCAGUAGUAGUUCACAACCCCCCAGCUAACUAUACCCAACAAGCAGGCCAGUAGUUGUCUGUCCCAGCCCACUAUACAUCAUAGGGAACUUAGUUUAGUAGUUUCCUCCCCCAGUCCACUACCAGCCCGGUAGGAGAUGGCUAUGGCAGGCCACUCAGUAGUAGUUCACAGCUAACUAUACCCAACAAGCAGGCCAGUAGUUGUCUGUCCCAGCCCACUACAUUACACAAGCAGUUAACUAGUUCCAAACCCUACACCGUUAGUAGUCUGUCGCCCUUGACAACUGAAGGUUUGGACUCUAACCUCCAGCGGUCAUUUUGAGAAUGGUGGUGGCAGCCUAGAUGAGGCCUCGGGAUGAUUAUUUUUAGGGGGAUCUCAGGAACCUGUGGAGGCCUCAAUGACAGCAGCUAUAGUCCUCUCAGCUCUCCUCCAUCUCUGCCUCACAGAGGAGCUAUCCUUCCUAACCUCCUCACAACCUAAACGGAAGAAGUCUGGCAUGGGUCUCUGACCUCAGUAUUGAUGGAUGCAGCCUCACCUCAAACUGUUCCUUUUCAAACCAGAUGGAUGAAACUACGACAUAUAUUCCUGUAUACCUUUCACCCUGAUCCCAGCAGUCCUCAGGUAUGGUUGGCAGUUCAGGGACGCUGUAGUAGCUGGUGUGAAGAUUCUGAGCUGUCCUUCUCGACACGAUCCAGACGAGCUUUUUAUUGUUGGGUUUGCUACAUUCGGGAGAAGAGUAGUCGGACAUACACUUGGCCACCAGUCCCUUCCAGUGUAGCAGCUCAACGUCAGUGAUCUGUAAAAAGACGACCAGGGCAUCAUAACAUUGGACACCGGGUUACAUAAUAGACUGGGUCAGCAGAAACCUUUUGGGAUGGAUCCCAGGCGUUGUAAAAGGAUAGCAGCCGGGAACACGAGGCCGGGGAAUGUGAAAAGGUUUUUUUUUUUUUUUUCAUGUCUUUCCAUAACCGUGCCAGUUGUCAUAUGAAACCUUUUGGACUAAGGUUGUAGGGCAUACAAUAUUCAGAGAUGGUUCCAGGGGGAAAAAUAGGUUUCUUUUGUGUACGAAUUUGACAGUUAACACCGGGUUACUGCUGUUUAAAACAAAGGAUUUACAUCCAUGUUAUGUGAUAAAGCUUCAACAAAUGUGUUUACCUUGAGAUGUCUUUGAACAUGAUGUGCUAUUUCUAACAUAUCAACAGAGUGCAUGGCUUCAAUCUCCUGAGUGAGGAGUGACAGGGCCAAGACUGACGGCUGGAAGAGAAGAAAAAAUGCAUCAAAUUAGACUGCAGCUGCCAAGAGGUCUCCUGAAAUAUGUAACAUCUCAUGGACUCUGGGGUAAAUCAUUACUUUAGCUUUGGAGAACGCGAUCCGGCAGAGACAGGCUUUGAGCUGGACCUCUAGCAUGUCGAGAUUCAGGGCCCCUUCCUGUAAAGGUUAAAUUACAUAUUAGAACCAAUCAGGGUGUGAAAACAAGGCGUCAGGGCUAUCUGUUACAUAAUUGAAUUUGUUAUGGUGGAAUGGACACCAUGUUAUUUGAUCAUGUCCAGUGAGAACCAUCGUCCUACUUCCAGUCAGGACUAUAAGUACGUCUAGUUUUUUUUAAACCUUUAUUUACCUAGGCAAGUCAGUUAAAAACAAAUUCUUAUUUUCAAUGACGGCCUAGGAACAGUGGGUUAACUGCCUGUUCAGGGGCAGAACGACAGCUCGGGGUUUAAACUUGCAACCUUCCGGUUACUAGUCCAACGCUCUAACCACUAGGCUACCCUGCUGCCCCAGUUAAUUAUGUCACACUAUUACCACCUUCCAAAUGGGGUUGAUUGCUCGGUGAAUUGUAAUAUAUUUUUUUAUAAUAAUGGGUUCUUACAGGUCUGAGGUAUGGGCGCUUGUGAUUCCGUGGUAUAGGUGCAAAAAGGUUAAAGCUGUGAUGGUUUUGAGUUGGAAGUUGAGUUUCUCUGAAACAAUCUUCUCCAUGCGAGUGAGGUCCGAGACCGUAAACUUGCACUGGCUGAUACGAAUAAGCUCAUUGGUGGAAGACAAGUUACACUCCUCUUCGACUGCUUUGGCUGCGAUGUGGAGACAACUGAUGCCGAUGCAAGCUAGAUGUUUGGGUUGGACCUGAAGAGGAGGGAGAUGAACAAAAGCUUGGAAUUAGUGGAAACAGACAUUACUAUUAUUACUCACAGCAAUUCCCUUUUUAUUUGUAGUUUGUCUAAGGACAUUAUGUCAUAAUUAUUGUCAUCAAAAGAAAUGUAGCGUUGCGAAUUAGCUGUAGAGUAUGUUGAAAUUACUAUUAAAAAAAGUGCUCUUGA